rnacentral:sRNA from 1 species
UUUGAAUAUUCAAAAUAUAUACAGCUUCAUGUUUGGUAGCAACUUUAGGAUACCGACCAGAUUCUUUUUAUAUUCCGGCAUUCUGAAAACAGUUUUUGUUUCUGUGCUUUACAAUGGGUAAUUUACAAAAUUGAUUUUCUUUUUCUUAAUAUUUAGAAUGUUUUAAUACACUGCUGUUCUGUGGAAAUACACUGUUCCACAAAGUAUGCAGUGCUUAUGUACUUGCCAUAUGGCAAACAAAUUAUAUAGUCAUUCAAUACAGAUAGCAGUUUCAUUGUCAAAUACAUAUUUGAUGGCAAGAAUAAGACUAAUUUUGUCAUCAUAGCAUAAAUGUUUUAUUAUAUAUUAUUUAUAAGCCACAUACUUCUUGUUGUAAAGAAGAUUUCCUAUUAUAAAAUCUUGCAGAUCAGCAGAGGUAGUUGUCAUUAUAUGGGUAUGCUUCACUUUGGUAAGUAGACAAGUCCCUAAGGCUUGUAGAUCAGAGCUUUCUUAAAAAUGAAUUACUUUGUUGAUUGCACCCCUGCACUCCAGCCUGGGCCACAGAGUGAAACCCUGUGUCAAAAAAAGAAAAAAGAAAUAAAAAAGGAUUACUUUGUAAGUGAUCCAAGGAACCUUGAGACCAAGUCACGCCUUAACCAGUUAGUCUGUUUUUCAGAUUUUUGACUAUUGUUGCAGCUGAGGGUUGGAAGUGGGGAUAGAAGUUGUUUGAAUAUCCUGCUGCCUUCUCCUAAGUAGAUUUAGUCUCACAACUGUGGUGAAGAAUAACUUACCCUUUUCUUUAUUCCACAGAUAAUUUUGGUAGAUGUAAGAACUGUGUAUUCACUGUGCCUUUUCCUUGGUACCUCAAAAUAGUGUGUAACCUUAUGCAAACUAAUGGAGAAAUGGCAGUGCUUUUGUUGAAACACUGAAGUAUAUUUAUAAGUUUUUUUCAGGCAAGAGUUACAACUGCAGCUCUUUUAUCAUAUAUCUAGCAUUAGGACUGCCAGCCCUUUGAAGAUCACCAAUGAGUUCUUGUAUUCACUUGGCUGAUUUAGAGUUAUGUAGGUUUUAAAAACCAUUUCAAAAUGCUUGAAAAACAGACAUCAUAAGCAUGAAUUCUUUAUUGCCUGUCAAUGGCUGAGUAAUGAAUUAUAUGGGUUUUUUUUUUUUCAAGAAAUAGAGACUUCUUAAGCAUGUUCUGCAUUCUUAGAUAUGGUCAUUUCAGCAGGAGAAAUGCUGUACCUGAAUCUGAGAUCUCAGAAGGCACUUUACUGAAGAGAAAUAGAUGUGUGCAUAUUGGUUUUUGCUGGAUUUGUUAAUUUGGGGAAGACAAAUAUUUUAUUGAUGAUUUUGAAUUUUAAGAGCUUUUUAAAUUCACUUUUAGCCUGACCUUCCUAGUAAGGAAUAAUUUUAUUUUAUUGAAAAACACCAAUAUCAUGACCAUUAAUCAUAAUGGAACAUCAUUUAGAAGACUGGAGAUUGAUAUGUUUUUAUUACUCAGAAAUUUGAGGGAUGUGAAUUAAACAUAGCAUCAUUCAUCAAAUCAAAUUGGUAAUUCUUAGCUUUUGUAAAUUGAUGGUUCAGUUCCAUUCUUAAGAGCAUAUUUUCUAGAGUAGCCUCAUUCUUUUAUUCUUUGUUUUUGCAGUUGAAAUUUUAUUAAACAAUAGUGAUUUUUGGUUUCAUUCAUUUGGAAACCUUGAUAUAAUCUUGUUUGAAAAAUAUAGGUUUUUUUUUUUAUAAUUAUAUUUUGAGAAAAUAAAUAUUCAGCUUUUCUCUCUUAGUACAAUGCCUUUCAUAAUCCUUUAACAUGCCUAUUAACAGAUACGAAAACCGGUGAGGUCCAAACAUUGUGGUGUGUGCAACCGCUGUAUAGCAAAAUUUGAUCAUCAUUGCCCAUGGGUGGGUAACUGUGUAGGUGCAGGCAACCAUAGAUAUUUUAUGGGCUACCUAUUCUUCUUGCUUUUUAUGAUCUGCUGGAUGAUUUAUGGUUGUAUAUCUUACUGGGGACUCCACUGUGAGACCACUUACACCAAGGAUGGAUUUUGGACAUAUAUUACUCAGAUUGCCACGUGUUCACCUUGGAUGUUUUGGAUGUUCCUGAACA